GCACAGGUAUCAUGCCCAACUUGAUCGACUUCAAUUCCACGGGAUUUGUUGUUGGCAUCCAGAAUGUGGUUGACACUUACGGCA